CCUACGGGUGGCAGCAGUGGGGGAUAUUGCACAAUGGGGGAAACCCUGAUGCAGCGACGCCGCGUGUGGGAAGACGGUCCUCUGGAUUGUAAACCACUGUCCCCAGGGACGAAGAUGACGGUACCUGGGGAGGAAGCUCCGGCUAACUACGUGCCAGCAGCCGCGGUAAUACGUAGGGAGCGAGCGUUGUCCGGAAUUACUGGGUGAAAAGGGAGCGUAGGCGGGACUGCAAGUUGGGUGUCAAAUCUACCGGCUCAACCGGUAGCCGCACUCAAAACUGCAGUUCUUGAGUGAAGUAGAGGCAGGCGGGAUUCCUAGUGUAGCGGUGAAAUGCGUAGAUAUUAGGAGGAACACCAGUGGCGAAGGCGGCCUGCUGGGCUUUUACUGACGCUGAGGCUCGAAAGUGUGGGGAGCAAACGGGAUUAGAUACCCCAGUAGUC
rnacentral:rRNA from 1 species